rnacentral:pre_miRNA from 1 species
AGCUCUCUGUAUCCGUGCUGAGAUUUCGUCACACACCAGACCACAAGGGCUGCUGAGCCUUCUAAG